rnacentral:rRNA from 1 species
GACGAACGCUGGCGGCGUGCUUAACACAUGCAAGUCGAGCGGUAAGGCCCGUUUCGGGGGUACACGAGCGGCGAACGGGUGAGUAACACGUGGGUGACCUGCCCUCAGCUCUGGGAUAAGCCUGGGAAACUGGGUCUAAUACCGGAUAUGACUCCAUGACGCAUGUUGUGGGGUGGAAAGCCUUGUGCGGCUGAGGAUGGGCCCGCGGCCUAUCAGCUUGUUGGUGGGGUGANGGCCUACCAAGGCGACGACGGGUAGCCGGCCUGAGAGGGCGACCGGCCACACUGGGACUGAGACACGGCCCAGACUCCUACGGGAGGCAGCAGUGGGGAAUCUUGCGCAAGUGGGCGAAAGCCUGACGCAGCGACGCCGCGUGAGGGA